rnacentral:rRNA from 1 species
UUAAAUUGAAGAGUUUGAUCAUGGCUCAGAUUGAACGCUGGCGGCAGGCCUAACACAUGCAAGUCGACCGGUAACAGGAAGAAGCUGGCUGCUUCGCUGACGAGUGGC